AACGAACGCUGGCGGCAUGCCUAACACAUGCAAGUCGAACGAGACCUUCGGGUCUAGUGGCGCACGGGUGCGUAACGCGUGGGAACCUGCCCUUAGGUUCGGAAUAACUCCCCGAAAGGGGUGCUAAUACCGGAUAAUGUCUUCGGACCAAAGAUUUAUCGCCUUUGGAUGGGCCCGCGUUGGAUUAGCUAGUUGGUAGGGUAAAAGCCUACCAAGGCGACGAUCCAUAGCUGGUCUGAGAGGAUGAUCAGCCACACUGGGACUGAGACACGGCCCAGACUCCUACGGGAGGCAGCAGUGGGGAAUAUUGGACAAUGGGCGAAAGCCUGAUCCAGCAAUGCCGCGUGAGUGAUGAAGGCCUUAGGGUUGUAAAGCUCUUUUACCCGGGAUGAUAAUGACGGUACCGGGAGAAUAAGCGCCGGCCAACUCCGUG
rnacentral:rRNA from 1 species